UGGGGAAUUUUGGACAAUGGGCGAAAGCCUGAUCCAGCAAUGCCGCGUGUGUGAAGAAGGCCUUCGGGUUGUAAAGCACUUUUGUCCGGAAAGAAAUCCUUGGCUCUAAUACAGUCGGGGGAUGACGGUACCGGAAGAAUAAGCACCGGCUAACUACGUGCCAGCAGCCGCGGUAAUACGUAGGGUGCAAGCGUUAAUCGGAAUUACUGGGCGUAAAGCGUGCGCAGGCGGUUUGCUAAGACCGAUGUGAAAUCCCCGGGCUCAACCUGGGAACUGCAUUGGUGACUGGCAGGCUAGAGUAUGGCAGAGGGGGGUAGAAUUCCACGUGUAGCAGUGAAAUGCGUAGAGAUGUGGAGGAAUACCGAUGGCGAAGGCAGCCCCCUGGGCCAAUACUGACGCUCAUGCACGAAAGCGUGGGGAGCAAACAGAUUAGAUACCCUGGUAGUCCACGCCCUAAACGAUGUCAACUAGUUGUUGGGGAUUCAUUUCCUUAGUAACGUAGCUAACGCGUGAAGUUGACCGCCUGGGGAGUACGGUCGCAAGAUUAAAACUCAAAGGAAUUGACGGGGU
rnacentral:rRNA from 1 species